rnacentral:tRNA from 1 species
GCGGCUGUGGUGGAAUUUGGUAGACACGCAACGUUGAGGUCGUUGUUCCUGAAAUGGAUUGAAAGUUCAAGUCUUUUCAGCCGCACCA